AUUGAACGCUGGCGGCAGGCCUAACACAUGCAAGUCGAACGAGUGGCGGACGGGUGAGUAAUGUCUGGGAAACUGUCUGAUGGAGGGGGAUAACUACUGGAAACGGUAGCUAAUACCGCAUACCCGCCGGAGUACCCCGGUGGGAUUAGAUGGUUGGUGGGGUAACGGCGCACCAAGGCGACGAUCCCUAGCUGGUCUGAGAGGAUGACCAGCCACACUGGAACUGAGACACGGUCCAGACUCCUACGGGAGGCAGCAGUGGGGAAUAUUGCACAAUGGGCGCAAGCCUGAUGCAGCCAUGCCGCGUGUAUGAAGAAGGCCUUCGGGUUGUAAAGUACUUUCAGCGGGGAGGAGUUACCCGCAGAAGAAGCACCGGCUAACUCCGUGCCAGCAGCCGCGGUAAUUC
rnacentral:rRNA from 1 species